rnacentral:tmRNA from 1 species
GGGGACGCACUGGUUUCGACAGGAGCUGCUGUGUCAUAAGAAGCGAGCUGGGAUUCCAUCUACCCCAUGAAACGGUGGACAAAAAUAAACGCAAAACGUGAUUUUGCUUUAGCAGCUUGAUCUGCUAAUGUCUCUCCGAAGUUCUCCUGCGGCUCCGGACAGGCACCAUCCAGCAGGAUACCAACGAGCGACGUCCGGUAACUCGGCGGGAACCGCACCGGAAUGGGUGAAGGUAGUUUGUUCCUGAACGGUACUUCAUCGACAUCUCAAUCAGGAACUGCGCUCGGAGAGGCUUGUGGGACAGGCUUUUUGGACAGGGGUUCGAUUCCCCUCGUCUCCACCA